rnacentral:rRNA from 1 species
UACGAAGGGUGCAAACGUUGCUCGGAAUUAUUGGGCGUAAAGCGCACGUAGGCGGUUUGUUAAGUCGGAUGUGAGAUCCCUCGGCUCAACUGAGGAAGUGCAUCCGAAACUGGCAAGCUUGAGUACGAAAGAGGGUCGCGGAAUUCCCGGUGUAGAGGUGAAAUUCGUAGAUAUCGGGAGGAACACCGGUGGCGAAGGCGGCGACCUGGGUCGAUACUGACGCUGAGGUGCGAAAGCGUGGGGAGCAAACAGG